UAAGUGACGAAGCGCCGAGUGAAUGUUCGGUAGAAGUGGAUUUCUAGUGGCUUUAUAGACGAAGGGGAAAGGCCGCACCCGAUAAACCAGAUCGAUAUAAUCUUGUCACCGAAAUGGCUUUCUUCAAUCUCACAAUUAAGGAUAAGAUACUAAUAUACAGUAAAAAAGAAGCUUCAUCAAAAAAACAUAGUUUAAAGUCAAUACUUUCCCAAAAAAAAAAA